GCGGCGGCGUGUCUCGGUACCAGGCGGCGGGUCGAUCGAUGGAGGCCGCCGGUUGGUGGCCUUGGUGCCGCCGGACCUAGGCCGGAGCGGAGGAGGUGUGCUCGGUGGAGAGGGGUGGAGGGAGGUGGUGGAAGGAGGACCGGGGUACGGAAGGAGGUGUAGACCACCGGGCUAAUCGUGGUCUAGGACGGCUGCGGCUGCCUCAACCGGCGGAGGUUGGUGGUACCGGACCUAGGCACCGAGAGAGGUGACACGAGACUGAGAGCGGCUCAGGUGGCUCUAGCUGGAAGGGUACUGGCCUAAGCGGUAGAGGUACGGAGUAGCGCUCGGAAACAGGUACGCCAAGCGCUGACGUAGACACAUCACGCCGCGUGCGCGCACACGUCAUGCGCCGAGAACCCGUCAACGAGGGUUCGGCUUCGAGGGGUUGCCGGCCGCUGUUGCUGAAAGAUGGAGGCGGGGGACAAAGAACCGUAAGGUACCGCUACUUCCACCCGCCUACCUAAAUCAAGAAAACUAAACAUCGUGACGAUGAGGGAUAAGAAGAAGAAAGGUAUAAGAGAUUUUAUAAAAACCAACAACAACUACAAAUCGCACCUCCUAGUCGAGUCCAAAUGGUGACGUCACGCACCGCACGUAGAGGGCGCCAAGUCGAGCACCCACACAUGAGGUCGCUACGUUAAACACCAAAGAGUUGACUGUCGUCACGCUAAACCGAAAUGUCCCGUCCUGUAUUAACUAUCUGCCCCCUAAUACCAACUACAACUACGUCACGUUUUGCGGAGAGGUACGUUAAGAAACCGAGGCCUCACUCGUCACCUCUCCUGUGGCCGUACGUCGAGGGGUAGGGGGUAUGAACAGGUGACUUGUACAUCUUCGGGUAGAACGACGUCACAUAUACUCGUAUACCGGACGUUCCCAAAUGAAGACAAAAAGACAACGUUCCUAGUCAAGUGGAGAAGCCACCUUUUUUCUUCCUUUAAUUUUGGGGUGAGUAACUGCUCUGUUGUUGGGUGCUCGUAGUACGCGCACGUCAGGGAAAACCCAUCCGAACGUUACGUCACACACAUACCCACGUCAGGUGGGGUAG
rnacentral:rRNA from 1 species